GACGUGCGUCGGAGAGUCUGGACUUCACGUGCUGCUCUUCCAAAACAAGGACAGGAUAUCAACCCAGAAAAAUGAGCCCUUCAGACCUGCGAUGAUCUGUGAAAAGCUCAGAUGGACUUAGCAGGCAUUUUCUUGACACCUGGGAAAAGUCAGCAUGUGAGAGAGGGAGUAGCAUUAUGGUUACGAGGCUACGUUCUAGAGCUGGGCUGCCUGGUUGAAUGCCAGCUACUCAGCUGUAGUGGGUUAAACGGUGCCCCCUGCAAAAAAAAAAAAAAUAUAUAUAUAUAUAUAUAAGAGCACCUCCUAACCCCAGGAACCUGUGACUGUGGCCUUAUUGGGGAAAAGGGCCUCAGCAGAUGUAAAUACAUUAAGGAUUUCUGAGAUGAGAUCCCCCUGCAGGAUGAGUCCUGUAUCCAAUAAGGAGAAGACACAGAUGCAGAAGAGAAGGUCAUGUGAAGAUGGAAGCAGAGACUGGAGUGAUGCUGUCAUAGGCCAGGGAACACCUGAAGCCACCAGAAGCUAGAAGAGGUCAGAAGUGUUUCUCCUUAGAGACUCUGGAGGGAGUGUGGUCCGGCUGGCCCCUUGACUUUGGACUUCUGGACCCCAGAACUGUGAGAGAAUACAUUUCCGUUGUCUUAAGCCACCAGGUUUGUGGUUAUUUGUUAGAGCAGCCCUAGGAAACAAACACGUCACUUACCAGCUGAGUGACCUUGGACACAAUAUUUGACCUCUACAAAUCGGACCCCUUGAAAUGCCUUCACACAGUUCCCGAUGGGUAGGAUUUGGUAAAGUUGAGCCUCAGUCCAGGGAGUCCCAUGGCUGAAGCCACUCACUCACAGCAGACUCGCUGCAGGACGAAGGGUGCAGGCAGCCACGGCCAGCAACACAUGUGCUCCUCAGUUGGGAGACCACCUGCCUUGUCCACCAUCACGGUCCCUGCCCAAGGCUGCCGGCUGAGCCAGAGAUGUGUCACGACAACACCCAAGCUCAGUCCACCUGAACAUUCAUGGCUCUUGGCACCGCAGACGUCCCAGAUGAAGAAAUGGGUGCAUAAUGUGUCCAAUGGCGAGAUCCUACUUAAAUACACUUUCCUGCCUUCCAAUAACAGAAGGAAAUCACUGUUCUUUUGG
rnacentral:lncRNA from 1 species